rnacentral:lncRNA from 1 species
UGUAUUUUUAAAUAGUUUUCUUAAAAGCUGCUAUUUUUGGAAAGUUUUCAUUUUCUAGAAAUUUUUUAUAGAUUUGAGUUUGUGAUUUAGAAAUUAGAAUAACAAGAAUAUUUAUGGAUAGUUGAGUAUUCUCUCAAAUUUUUCCUGAAUAGACUAUAUUUUAAAAUAAUUUUCUUGAAAACUACUAUUAUUGAAUUUUUUCAUUUAUUAGAGAAAUACUGUAUACUUGAGUUUAUAAUUUAGAAAUUAGGAUAACAAGAAUAUUUGAAAAUAGUUGACUAUUCUUUAAGAAUUUUUCAUCAAUAUGUUGUAUUUUUAAAUAAUUUCUUUAAAACCUGCUAUUUUUGGAAAGUUUUCAUUAUUUUUAGGUAAAUUUAAUAGAUUUAAGUUUGUGAUUCUUAAAACCUGCUAUUUUUGGAAAGUUUUCAUUUUUUGAAAAAUAAUGUGGAUUUGGGUUUGUGAUUUAGAAAUUAGGAUAACAAGAAUAUUUGUGGAUUGAUGAGUAUUCUUUCAGAUUUUUCAUGAAAAUGUUGUAUUUUAAAACAAUUUUCUUUAAAAUGCUUUUUUGGAAAGUUUUAAUUUAUUAGAGAAAUACUGUAGAUUUGAGUUCAUGAUUUAGAAAUUAGGAUAACAAGAAUAUUUGAGGAUAAAUGAGUAUUCUUUGAGAAUUUUUCAUCAGUAUGUUGUAAUUUCAAAUAAUUUUCUUAAAAGCUGCUAUUUUUGGAAAGUUUUUGUGGAUAAAUGAUUAUUCUUUCAGAAUUUUUCAUCAAUAUGUUGUACUUUUAAAUAAUUUCCUUAAAACCUACUAUUUUUGGAAAGUUUUCAUUUUUUAAAAAUAAUGUGGAUUUGGGUUUGUGAUUUAGAAAUUAGGAUAACAAGAAUAUUUGUGGAUAGAUGAGUAUUCUUUCAGAAUUUUUCAUCAAUAUUUUAUAUUUUUAAAUAAUUUCCUUAAAACCUGCUAUUUUUGGAAAGUUUUCAUUUUUUGAGAAAUAAUGUGGAUUUGGGUUUGUGAUUUAGAAAUUAGGAUAACAAGAAUAUUUGUGGAUAGAUGAGUAUUCUUUCAGAAUUUUUCAUCAAUAUGUUGUAUUUUUAAAUAAUUUUUUUAAGACCUGCUAUUUUUGGAAGGUUUUCAUUUUUUGAGAAAUAAUGUGGAUUUGGGUUUGUGAUUUAGAAAUUAGGAUAACAAGAAUAUUUGUGGAUAGAUGAGUAUUCUUUCAGAAUUUUUCAUCAAUAUGUUGUAUUUUUAAAUAAUUUUCUUAAAACCUGCUUUUUUUGGAAAGUUUUCAUUUUUUGAGAAAUAAUGUGGAUUUGGGUUUGUGAUUUAAAAAAUAGGAUAACAAGAAUAUUUGAGGAUAGAUGAGUAUUCUUUCAGAAUUUUUCAUCAAUAUGUUGUAUUUUUAAAUAAUUUUCUUAAAACCUGCUAUUUUUGGAAAGUUUUCAUUUUUUAGAGAAAUAAUGUGGAUUUGGGUUUGUGAUUUAGAAAUUAGGAUAACAAGAAUAUUUGUGGAUAGAUGAGUAUUCUUUCAUAAUUUUUCAUCAAUAUGUUGUAUUUUUCAAUAGUUUUCUUAAAACCUGCUAUUUUUGGAAAGUUUUUAUUUUUUGAGUAAUAAUGUGGAUUUGGGUUUAUGAUUUAGAAAUUAGAAUAACAAGAAUAUUUGUGGAUAGAUGAGUAUUCUUUCAGAAUUUUUCAUCAAUAUGUGUAUU